rnacentral:rRNA from 1 species
GACGAACGCUGGCGGCGUGCCUAAUACAUGCCAGUAGAACGCUGAAGCGAGGAGCUUGCUCUUCUUGGAUGAGUUGCGAACGGGUGAGUAACGCGUAGGUAACCUGCCUGGUAGCGGGGGAUAACUAUUGGAAACGAUAGCUAAUACCGCAUAACAACAGUUGUUGCAUGACAGCUGUUUAAAAGAUGCAAUUGCAUCACUACCAGAUGGACCUGCGUUGUAUUAGCUAGUUGGUGAGGUAACGGCGCACCAAGGCGACGAUACAUAGCCGAACUGAGAGGAUGGGCAGCCGGACUGGGAGGGAGACACGGCACAGAGGCCUACGGGGGGGGGCCAUAGGGAAACGUGGGCAAGGAGGGGAAAACUGACCGAACAACGCCGAGGGAGGGAGGAAGAAUGUCGGGUCGGAGAGCUCGGUUGUAAGGGAAGAACGGGUGUGAGAGUGGAAAGUACACACUGUGACGGUAACUUACCAGAAAGGAACGGCUAACUACGUG